AGAAUCAACGCUGGCGGCGUGCCUAACACAUGCAAGUCGAACGCGGUUACCUCGCAAGAGGUAACUGAGUGGCGAACGGGUGAGUAACACGUGGGUGACCUACCUUCGAAUGGGGGAUAACGUCCCGAAAGGGACGCUAAUACCGCAUAACAUCCUGCCUUUGAACAGGUGGAGAUCAAGGCCGGGGAUCGCAAGACCUGGCGUUUGAAGAGGGGCCCGCGUCUGAUUAGCUAGUUGGUGAGGUAACGGCUCACCAAGGCGACGAUCAGUA
rnacentral:rRNA from 1 species